UAGGAGCCUGUGAAGUAUCUGUAAUUUAGCAAACUUCUUGCAGUUAGAAAAACCCUUUGUGCUUCAUGGUUUGCUUCAGCUGGUGGUACAACCCUUAGGAGAGUGGGUAGAAGAUGCAGGUGGCAGGGCACCUCGCAGCUGUUUCCUAUUGCACCCAGCACUCCCCCUCCACAUUGUUCUGGCCAGUGCAUUGGCUGGAGGAGCUCUGAGCUGAGGGCACUUCCCCCCAGCCAGGUUCAGUGACACCUGGGCUAAAGGGCUGUGUCUGUGGGUGCAGCCAGCUCCAAGGGGAACACUCACUCCCACCUCUCUGCCAACCCUGCUCAGCUGAGAGACCCACCUGGGGUUGGACAUCCCUCUCUGUGCAGAUAUUCGGGUUCCCUGCGCCAUCUUGUCAGUCUAGCCAAGUCCUGCACCGCCCACCUCCCCCUCCCCACACACACUCACUCACUCACUCACUCUGCCUUGUCACAGGCUGUUACAACAGGAAGAGCUUUUCUACACAGAGCAUCCAAAAGCCAGGAGGAGACAGACUCACGCUGGAGGCUGCCUCCACAGUGCCACCAAGUGCAACAAUACCUGUACACAAGGGAAGAGGUUUCUGAAACUGGCAAGUGAUUGUAGACAGAGAUACAUUAUAUCGUCCAUCCCAUAACAUCAUCA